CACCGUGGCGCAGCUACACAUGCAAGUCGAGCGGUAACAGAUCCAGCUUGCUGGAUGCUGACGAGCGGCGGACGGGUGAGUAAUGCAUAGGAAUCUGCCCGGUAGUGGGGGAUAACCUGGGGAAACCCAGGCUAAUACCGCAUACGUCCUACGGGAGAAAGGGGGCUUCGGCUCCCGCUAUCGGAUGAGCCUAUGUCGGAUUAGCUAGUUGGUGAGGUAACGGCUCACCAAGGCCACGAUCCGUAGCUGGUCUGAGAGGAUGAUCAGCCACAUCGGGACUGAGACACGGCCCGAACUCCUACGGGAGGCAGCAGUGGGGAAUAUUGGACAAUGGGGGGAACCCUGAUCCAGCCAUGCCGCGUGUGUGAAGAAGGCCCUCGGGUUGUAAAGCACUUUCAGCGAGGAAGAACGCCUAGCGGUUAAUACCCGCUAGGAAAGACAUCACUCGCAGAAGAAGCACCGGCUAACUCCGUGCCAGCAGCCGCGGUAAUACGGAGGGUGCAAGCGUUAAUCGGAAUUACUGGGCGUAAAGCGCGCGUAGGUGGCUUGAUAAGCCGGUUGUGAAAGCCCCGGGCUCAACCUGGGAACGGCAUCCGGAACUGUCAAGCUAGAGUGCAGGAGAGGAAGGUAGAAUUCCCGGUGUAGCGGUGAAAUGCGUAGAGAUCGGGAGGAAUACCAGUGGCGAAGGCGGCCUUCUGGACUGACACUGACACUGAGGUGCGAAAGCGUGGGUAGCAAACAGGAUUAGAUACCCUGGUAGUCCACGCCGUAAACGAUGUCGACCAGCCGUUGGGUGCCUAGCGCACUUUGUGGCGAAGUUAACGCGAUAAGUCGACCGCCUGGGGAGUACGGCCGCAAGGUUAAAACUCAAAUGAAUUGACGGGGGCCCCGCACAAGCGGGUGGAGCAUGUGGUUUAAUUCGAUGCAACGCGAAGGAACCUUACCUACUCUUGACAUCCUGCGAAAUUCGGUAGAGAUACCUUAGUGCCUUCGGGAACGCAGAGACAGGUGCUGCAUGGCUGUCGUCAGCUCGUGUUGUGAAUGUUGGGUUAAGUCCCGUAACGAGCGCAACCCUUGUCCUUAUUUGCCAGCGCGUAAUGGCCGGAACUCUAAGGAGGACUGCCGGUG
rnacentral:rRNA from 1 species